rnacentral:rRNA from 1 species
GACGAACGCUGGCGGCGUGCUUAACACAUGCAAGUCGAACGGAAAGGCUCUGCUUUUGUGGGGUGCUCGAGUGGCGAACGGGUGAGUAACACGUGAGUAACCUGCCCUUGACUUUGGGAUAACUUCAGGAAACUGGGGCUAAUACCGGAUAGGAGCUCCUGCUGCAUGGUGGGGGUUGGAAAGUUUCGGCGGUUGGGGAUGGACUCGCGGCUUAUCAGCUUGUUGGUGGGGUAGUGGCUUACCAAGGCUUUGACGGGUAGCCGGCCUGAGAGGGUGACCGGCCACAUUGGGACUGAGAUACGGCCCAGACUCCUACGGGAGGCAGCAGUGGGGAAUAUUGCACAAUGGGCGGAAGCCUGAUGCAGCAACGCCGCGUGCGGGAUGACGGCCUUCGGGUUGUAAACCGCUUUCGCCUGUGACGAAGCGUGAGUGACGGUAAUGGGUAAAGAAGCACCGGCUAACUACGUG